UACAGAGGAGCCAAGCGUUGUCCGGAUUGACUGGGCGUAAAGCGUGCGCAGGCGGUUCGUUAUGUCCGAUGUGAAAGCCCCGAGCUCAACUUGGGAAUGGCAUUGGAAACUGGCGGGCUGGAGUGUGGCAGAGGGGGGUGGAAUUCCACGUGUAGCAGUGAAAUGCGUAGAGAUGGUGGAGGAACACCGAUGGCGAAGGCAGCCCCCUGGGCCAACACUGACGCCUCAGGCACGAAAGCGUGGGGAGCAAACAGG
rnacentral:rRNA from 1 species